GUCUUCGUUGUGUACCGGUCAGCACGCUCGGCGCGUAUUCGAGAGGUCCAGGGUUCAAGUCCCGGCGAGGGCA
rfam:Stegodyphus mimosarum contig21101, whole genome shotgun sequence.